UACGUAGGGCGCAAGCGUUGUCCGGAAUUAUUGGGCGUAAAGAGCUCGUAGGCGGCUUGUCACGUCGGGUGUGAAAGCCCGGGGCUUAACCCCGGGUCUGCAUUCGAUACGGGCUAGCUAGAGUGUGGUAGGGGAGAUCGGAAUUCCUGGUGUAGCGGUGAAAUGCGCAGAUAUCAGGAGGAACACCGGUGGCGAAGGCGGGUCUCUGGACAGCUCCUGACGCUGAGGCGCGAAGGCUAGGGGGGAGCAAACGGG
rnacentral:rRNA from 1 species